CCUACGGGAGGCAGCAGUGGGGAAUAUUGCACAAUGGGCGAAACCCUGAUGCAGCGACGCCGCGUGAAGGAAGAAGUAUUUCGGUAUGUAAACCUCUAUCAGCAGGGAAGAAAAUGACGGUACCUGACUAAGAAGCUCCGGCCAACUACGUGCCAGCAGCCGUGGUAAUACGUAGGGGGCAAGGGUGAUCCGGAUUUAGUGGGUGUAAAGGGAGCGUAGGCGGUUUGGCAAGUCGGAAGUGAAAGCCCGGGGCUCAACUGCGGGACUGCUUUUGAAACUGUUGAACUUGAGUGCAGGAGAGGUAAGUGGAAUUCCUGGUGUAGCGGUGAAAUGCGUAGAUAUUAGGAGGAACACCAGUGGCGAAGGCGGCUUACUGGACUGUAAAUGACGCUGAGGCUCGAAAGCGUGGGGAGCAAACAGGAUUAGAUACCCGGGUAGUC
rnacentral:rRNA from 1 species